AUUGAACGCUGGCGGCAUGCCUUACACAUGCAAGUCGAACGGCAGCACGGGCUUCGGUCUGGUGGCGAGUGGCGAACGGGUGAGUAAAGUAUCGGAACGUACCUUUCAGUGGGGGAUAACGUAGCGAAAGUUACGCUAAUACCGCAUAUUCUGUGAGCAGGAAAGCAGGGGAUCGCAAGACCUUGCGCUGAUUGAGCGGCCGAUAUCAGAUUAGCUAGUUGGUGGGGUAAAGGCCUACCAAGGCGACGAUCUGUAGCGGGUCUGAGAGGAUGAUCCGCCACACUGGAACUGAGACACGGUCCAGACUCCUACGGGGGGCAGCAGUGGGGAAUUUUGGACAAUGGGGGCAACCCUGAUCCAGCCAUGCCGCGUGAGUGAAGAAGGCCUUCGGGUUGUAAAGCUCUUUCGGCCGGGAAGAAAUCGCAUGGGCUAAUACCCUGUGUGGAUGACGGUACCGGAAUAAGAAGCACCGGCUAACUACGUGCCAGCCGCCGCGGUAAUAC
rnacentral:rRNA from 1 species